ACUACCAGUGCACCAUGGCCGGGGUACAAAUAUGCCACCCUUCACCAAUGGAUGCAUCAGCAGCAGCCACAGCAAAAUUUGGUUUGGGAUAGGUAGGUGUUAUGUUAGGUCUGGUUUUUUGGCUGUAGCAGCAGCAGUGGAAGGGGCAUGCAGAGGAGCAGGAGAUUCAGUUUGAAGCUGGACUUCACUUUUGCCUCUCUCUCCUGUGCUUGCCUCUUCCAUUCCUGCUGCUAGGCUGUUCUGUGGAAGUUUGCAGAGUUUAUAUUAUGGGUUUAAUCGUCCAUGGCAUCAGCAUCAGCAGCGGUAUGUCAUGACAAUGCGGCCGUGCGAGCUCCAUGAGCUCGAAUGCCAUUGCAGUGGAUUCAGGACAACGAAAUGGACACUGUUUUUCGUUGGAAAUUUGGGCGUAUGCCGUUGUAAAAUUCAUGUUUCAGAGAAAUGCCGCUACAAAAUGUAUCUAUGAGCUUGAAGUUAUCUCAAAGCUAUCAGUAACACAUUAUUUGGUCAA